GGGCAAGUAGCACCGUGUGUGGUGAGCCUCGUCCUUCAUCAUGAUGUUUUCUUAUUCUGUUUCCAUGAAGUAGCAGCUCAUACGAGCUCUAUUUGCGGACCUGCAAGUUGAUGUUGCACUGGCUUUUCCCUCUGCAAUUAGGAGUUAUUUCCUAGACUUAGGAGCAUUCGUCAGUAAGAAAUGAUAAACGGUACAAAUCACAAGGAGACGAUGGGAGAAGUAAAAAAUACUUCUGCCCACGACUGUCGGGCGCUAAAGCACCGAGAAAGAAAGCAGGAACCUAGGCGCCCAUUAGUGUUGGGACAGAAUCCCCUAGCCCGCUGCAUAUGCAUAGCACGUCGUAUGAAGAUGCACGAGAUCUGUCAAGCACCAUAAAUGGAGAGAGCCCAGUCUAGCACCUUCCGUGCUACGCGAGACGAUGGUCGCAUGCACGCGCGGGGUCUGUUUGGGCACACCCGAAGUGCCGAGAUAGCACCCCUUGGCACGCUGCAGCAUCCAACACACCCCUGUGUGCCGCGCGAUUCUGCCAGGCAUUGUGAGCUCAGAGGGCUGUGCGAGUGCGUGAGGAAAAUUUCCCUUCCACGGGUUUUGCACUCCAGCAUUUUCCCCUAGACGAAACGGCCCCAAUGGAUUAAUUUAAUUAAUUUCAUUAACCAAAAAUGGAUAUUUGUGAAUAAUGGGCCUAGUGGGCCGAGUUAAAUGGAUUUUUAUGAACAAUGGGCCUUAAUUAAGAA